CUCCAUGCCUGAAUGAUCCAUGCCUGGAAGCCAGGGAGCAGGGCUCUGGGGCAGACACUUCUGCCUUUAGGGGCCAGAAUAUUUACAACCACAUCCAAAAUAUUAACUGCAACUUACCAGCUUUCUAUUGCUCGAAUCUCCAUCCAUUUCCAUAGAGCUGCCAGAAUUCUUUCACUGCCCUCCUUGAUCACAGGACAAAAAUCUAUAGAGUCUAAGACUGCAUUUUAAGGUCUGUGCAUGUUUUAGCUCUUGCCAUGUUGACAGCUCAUUUCCUCCCCACAAAAGCCCCAGUCCUAUUUGAUUAGCUGACAUAGGAUUAACUGAUGGUCUAAGUCAGGAUACUGGACUUUUUCAUCUUUGCACAGGAAAAUCUCUGGAAUUCCUGCUAUCCUAUCACACACACACACACACACACACACACACGCAUACAGACCCCCUACCCCAGUCUUGGUAUCCAAUCACACACACACACACACACCCCAGUCUGCUAUCCCAUCACACACACACACACCCAGCCCACACAGCUUUCACCCUGGCAAACCCUCCUACUCCUCUAGUCCCCAUUCAAUAGUCACCUCCUCUUGAAAGCCUUCCUGGCUUGCUCAUGGUCCUCCUCUCCACGUAACAUCCCCUGUACAACACUGCAUUAUAACUGUUUCUCCUGUUCUCCUUCUUAGUCCCAGGGACUCCUCCAACACCCUUCUUCCUGACUCUAGGGUUUAGCACAUUGUCUGGCACACAAUAGGAACCCGAUAAACGCAGAAUAAAUACACGAGGCGCUCCAUAAAGCACUAAUUUCUCUGCCCUAGCUUGGCCAAGGAACCACUCUGAGUUUUGUUUUUUUUUUUCCCCCUCUCUGAGCUCUAAGAGACCUAGAAAUAAGAAAUGGCAUGAUGAAUCUGACCCCUGGCUCCGGGGGCAACAGGUCAGGAGGCGUCUGCAGAUCUAGGCAGAGCAGACGUCCGGCCUCUGCGGUCGCCAGUUCCCCGCAAGCUCUUCCCCGGGCCCAGUCGCUGGGUGGAGAUUCUCUUCGAAGCCACUAUCCGAAGCCCCUCUGGCUCCCCGGCCCCUCAGGCGUGCCCCGCACGCACACCUGUCCGUCCCAGGGUCGGCCCGGCGAGCUGGCAGCAGCACUCGAGGAGGAAGCUUGCCGCGCCGGCUCCUCCGCCCACUGUCGGGCCCCUCCGCGCGCCCGCAUCCCGCAGGCACAGAGCCGGAGCGCCUGGGAACGCAGCCUGGCGCCGGGACGCCACCAGCAGCCUCGGCGGGAGGUGGCGGGGACUCCCUGUUACCAGAAACCUCACAAAGUAUUAACUUCGCUGCGGGUUCUGCUUACCUUGCGAGCCGCCAGGAACCCGGAGCCGGGGGUGUGCCUUGGCCGCGACGCCCGCCUGCGGAUCCACUGGGGUCCCGGAGCUCAGCCUCCGCACCCCGUGGCGCGCGAGCGUCUCCCCUCGCCGCGGGGCCCCAUUGGCUCGGGCAGCCAGGCCCCGCCCACGGGAGGCUCCGCACAUUGGAGGCCCCGCCCCUCGCGCCCCUCGCGCCCCUCUUGCCUCCCGGCUACCCGGCUCUCGGCCCCUUCAAGUGGUGAGGUGCUUCUAGACUCAGCUCUCACCAAGCUCAGGCAACCGAGAAAGACACCUGUCUGCAUGGAGUCUGCAGACCUCUGUUUGGAAGGAGGAACCAGAGGAAACUACUGGAGAAAUACCAUGGCUGGGUUUGGUGUUUCAGGAUUAUCUUCCUGGCUUCUGUGUGCAGUGUAUUCAGAAGGUAAGCAAUGUUUAUACAUGUUGUGUAAGCACUUGACCUCUGGGAUGUGUGCCCCACCAGACCUGGUAUAGGGAGUGUGUUUAUUAACCAUUGUGUCCCUACUUCAGCCUGGUGUGCAGUCAGCACUCACUCCAUUUUUGAAUGAAAGGAUGUUGUUUCCAGUCUUACAUUAGACCCUGAGGCUGAAGAAGAGAGAGGCAAACCCUAUUCUCCUGCAGUGAACAGACUGGCAGGUCCAUAGCAGCAUUAUGGACAGAUAGAAUGGUUCGCAUAAAUAAGACGGAAGGUAGCAAGGAUCAGAAAUGGUGUGGGGCCUGGGAAUCUAUAUUUUAAACUAGUUCCUUGACUACUUCUGAUGUCCAGGGGCUGGCAUUUGGAAAACCUUGUUUGCCAAUCAGAGACGACCCCAAGUUUGAUUAUCUUACUAAGAUCAAGGUCUCAACCUUCUUACACUGACUAUUCUUGAUCCCUAUCCCUUGGGGUCUCUAAGUCCCUUGACUCACUGCCCCUGAGCAGUGAGUGACCCCAAAUUCUUGAUCCUGCUUGGAUCCUCUGAUCAACCCUGGAGCAAUACAGGUCCUUCAUAGCCCAUGAACCCUAAGGGGAGCAUCUCUCCUUGACAUUGAGGGAGAGGUUUGUUUCUGAUAUCCACCUCUCUACACUCCCCCCAACACUCUUGGCUCCCUCCUAGCUGUAGCACUGCACUCCUGAGCCUGCAUGAUCUCUUGAAGACACCUACGAGACAAAGUACAUUUAUGUUUUCAUGUAAGCUGUGUACGCUUUAAAGCUGUUUGGUGUUUGAUGUUAAAUUUAAAAAAAGAGAGAAAGAGGACUAUGUUUUCUUUUAGGAGAGGCUGUGAGACUUUCCUUCAUUUCGUCCUGGAGAGAGUUUCCUGUGGAAAUGAAAGGGGAAAAGUCUCUGAUUGACUUGUUUGCGGCAUGCCUGCAUGCUUAGUCAUUUGUCGUGUCCACCUCUUUGCAACCUUAUGGACUGUAGGCCACCAGACUCCUUUGUCCAUGAGAUUCUCCAGGCAAGAAUACUCAAGGGGGUUGCCAUGCCCUCUUCCAGGG
rnacentral:lncRNA from 1 species